rnacentral:lncRNA from 1 species
AUAGAAUAUAAUCAUCCCGACAUAUCACAAGCCUUACCUUUAUGAUACAUAAUACAUUCAAGAAAACAAAAAAAGGCAUCCCCAAGGUUUCUGCCACUUAGCAUCUGAGGUGUUUCGAAUACAUGAUGCACAGGUCAAAUGGAGCAACCUUACCAUUGCACCAAGCCCCGCCCGCACGUAAUACAUUAACAAACAUGCUCAGGCAUGAAAUCAUGAAAAUUAAAGAGAAAGAGAGGUUGAAAAAGAAAUGGUAAAGUAUCCAGAACAACAUGCAGAAAUGUUUUCCAAGCCAAUGGAAAGUCAUGCAGAUCAAUGUAACCAACAAGGUUAACAAAAAAUGAUUAAAUGAUUGAAGGAUUGGAAUUACCACACAGUAUGUCACAAGGAUAUAACCAUAACUGAUGGCCAGCAGACAAAACAAAGAGAAAUUCUUCUGGUUCUGAACUUGAUCUAAUAUAAAAAGGCAUAGGAGCUAUACAGGGAUUAGUCUAAUAGUUCGGUUCUGAGAUUAUGCAAAUGCAUUUUCAGAAGAUCAUGUCAUUAUCUCAUGGGAACUGCAUAUGAUACUAUUUGAAAGUGUACUAAGAGAACCAACCACAUUUGUCAAAUAAAAUAUUAAGCAACAUACACAGCACAUAAAAAUGGGAGCAAAAGUAGAGCUGCCACUGUCAUGAUUUAUAGAAAACAAGGAUGUAAAUGUUAGAAAAACACCACAGCUUCCCAAAUUAAAUGAGAGCAGAAAUAAAAAUGAAAAAAACAAAUUAAAUUAAUUAGCCAAUCGCAACAAUUAGGAGAAAAGUUAUCCAAUGGUGAAGCAGGCAUUUCAGCUAACUUAAUAACAAGAGACAUAAAAGAAUUGCAGAAAAAUAUAGCACAAUAAGAUUCACACAAACUGGUAGUUCAUGUAAAAGAGCCCAUCUAUUUAUGGUCGGGAUUUUGUGAAGGAGAAAAUGUAAAUAUGCGACACAUUCUAGUAUUGAGCAAACAACUCCUGAUUUCUGACAAGCAAAAUACGAACUUUGAGAAUGUCGGUUCUCGAAGUCAAAAUCGUACCUUUAUUGAUACCAUCUUUAUCUCGAAACUAUCAUCAGCCUCCAAAUCAUAUGAAUUCUUCAGGAACAGCAGAAAAAACACAUCAGAAGAAAUUUAAUUACAGUUUUGUAAUUAAAGAAGCCUUAAAAAAAAUAUAAUCUUCAAAAAACAAGAAAUUAGAAGGCAAAAUGGGAAAAGGAAAAAGAGGCUCAAAUUCGUCACUUCCAGAUGUUCCCCGCCAAUUGCUAGAGAAGCUGACAUGCAAAGAAGAAAAGAGCAAUUUUACAAGUCACCCAUCAUCUCAUCAAUAUACAUACAUACACAC